rnacentral:rRNA from 1 species
UACGGGGGGGCAAGCGUUGUUCGGAAUUACUGGGCGUAAAGGGCUCGUAGGUGGCCAACUAAGUCGGACGUGAAAUCCCUCAGCUUAACUGGGGAACUGCGUCCGAUACUGGAUGGCUUGAGUUUGGGAGAGGGAUGCGGAAUUCCAGGUGUAGCGGUGAAAUGCGUAGAUAUCUGGAGGAACACCGGUGGCGAAGGCGGCAUCCUGGACCAACACUGACACUGAGGAGCGAAAGCCAGGGGAGCAAACAGG